CACAAAGCAAAGGUGCGUCCCAAAAACGAUCAGAACUUCAAACUUGAGUUCGUCAAUCGAUAUCCGUGGUUCUGCGGAAAUUUCUAGACCCUCUUUAUUUGUCCGUAAAGCUUUGCACGUUUAUCAGUGUCCAAUUAACGAGAACGAGAGUGCAGAAGUUUUAGCAAGACUAGUGGUUUUGGUGAAACGCAAGCAAAUGAACAGCUUUGAACAUCGAUAUCAUGAUUGAAGUUUUUCUAGUAGGCUGUGGUGCAGGAUUAGAAGAAUUGGUUUGCUGCCAGAUAAUCUGGUGAUUGGGUAUGAAACUUAAUAGGGUAAAAAAGUAGCUAAAAGGCACGAAACCCUGGUAGCUUUUUGACUCUUAAGAUGUUUUGGACUGUCCAGAUGUACCAUAUUUGGUUGAAAUGGAAUGCUCAUAAUCGUACUAAUUCCUGUAGGGUGAGGAUUUUUUCUUCAAUUUGUUGCUGAGUAUGAGUUAUGUUUAGGGUUUAGA